CAGUAGCCGCGGUAAUACGGAGGGUGCAAGCGUUACUCGGAAUCACUGGGCGUAAAGGACGCGUAGGCGGAUUAUCAAGUCUCUUGUGAAAUCUAACGGCUUAACCGUUAAACUGCUUGGGAAACUGAUAAUCUAGAGUAAGGGAGAGGCAGAUGGGAUUCUUGGUGUAGGGGUAAAAUCCGUAGAGAUCAAGAAGAAUACCCAUUGCGGAAGCGAUCUGCUGGAACUUAACUGACGCUAAUGCGUGAAAGCGUGGGGAGCGAACAGGAUUAGAUACCCCCGUAGUCCCUGUCUCUUAUAC
rnacentral:rRNA from 1 species